UGGGGAAUUUUGGACAAUGGGCGAAAGCCUGAUCCAGCAAUGCCGCGUGUGUGAAGAAGGCCUUCGGGUUGUAAAGCACUUUUGUCCGGAAAGAAAUCCUUGGCUCUAAUACAGUCGGGGGAUGACGGUACCGGAAGAAUAAGCACCGGCUAACUACGUGCCAGCAGCCGCGGUAAUACGUAGGGUGCAAGCGUUAAUCGGAAUUACUGGGCGUAAAGCGUGCGCAGGCGGUUUGCUAAGACCGAUGUGAAAUCCCCGGGCUCAACCUGGGAACUGCAUUGGUGACUGGCAGGCUAGAGUAUGGCAGAGGGGGGUAGAAUUCCACGUGUAGCAGUGAAAUGCGUAGAGAUGUGGAGGAAUACCGAUGGCGAAGGCAGCCCCCUGGGCCAAUACUGACGCUCAUGCACGAAAAGCGUGGGGAGCAAAACAGGAUUAGAUACCCUGGUAGUCCACGCCCUAAAACGAUGUCAACUAGUUGUUGGGGAUUCAUUUCCUUAGUAACGUAGCUAACGCGUGAAGUUGACCGCCUGGGGAGU
rnacentral:rRNA from 1 species